rnacentral:misc_RNA from 1 species
UCCGGUUUGGCACCGGCAGUCUCCCUAGAGUUCCCGGCAUGACCCGCUGGCAACUAAGGACAGGGGUUGCGCUCGUUGCGCCACUUAAGGCAACACCUCACGGCACGAGCUGACGACAGCCAUGCACCACCUGUGCAGGCUCCGAAGAGCGCCCGCUUUCACGGGUUUCACCCUGCAUGUCAAGCCCAGGUAAGGUUCUUCGCGUUGCAUCGAAUUAAGCCGCAUGCUCCGCCGCUUGUGCGGGCCCCCGUCAAUUCUUUUGAGUUUUAGCCUUGCGGCCGUACUCCCCAGGCGGAACACUUAACGCGUUGGCUGCGGCACAGAGGGAUUCGACUCCCCCCACACCUAGCAUCCACAGUUUAGGGCGUGGACUAC